GGGGGCGGUAGCGGCGGCGCCGUUGCCACAGCGACGCGGACGCCAUGGCCGCCGUGCCCGAGCCGCUGCCGCCCGCCGAAGCCGAGGCGUUUGUGCGGGCCCUGCAGGGCACCGAGCUGCGGGACAUCGGCGGGCAGGGAUGGCUUCGGCAGCACGAGUAUGUGGAGAAGCUGAACAUGCACGGCAUCCUGAGUGCCUCAGCAGGCCAGGAGCAGCUCCUCACCGAGCUGCUGGUCACCCAUGCCAAGAUUCCUGUUCUCAUUGGGGAGCUGAUCUCUGUGGAGAUCUGGAAGCACAAGAUCUUUCCCAUGCUGUGCCGGCUGGAGGACUUCAAGCCGAGAAGCACCUUCCCCAUCUACGUGGUGCUGCAUCACGAAGCCUCCAUCAUCAACCUCCUGGAGACAGUGUUCUUUUACAAGGAGAUCUGUGAGUCAGCAGAGGACAGCAUUCUGGAUUUGAUUGAUUACUGCCACCGCAAGCUGAUUCUGCUGGCAGCUCGGAGCACCAAGGCACAAGCAGUGACCUCAGCAGAGCUUCGUGCUGAGCAUCUGGCCAGCCCCUCAUCCAUGCAGGAGCUGCAGAAGCAGGCAGAGAUGAUGGAGUUUGAGAUUUCCCUGAAGGCCCUGUCUGUGCUACGGUUCAUCACUGACCAGGUGGACAGUCUGCCCCUGGGUGCACUGACACGGAUGCUGAACACCCACAACCUGCCCUGCCUCCUUGUUGAGCUGGUGGAGCAUUGCCCCUGGAGCUGCUGGGAAGCAGGCAAGCUCAAGAAGUUCGAGAAUGGCACAUGGCAUGUGGUGCCCGCUGAGGACCAGGUGAAGAUGACCAAACUCGAUGGGCAGGUGUGGCUUGCCCUGCUCAACCUCCUGCUCAGUCCCGAGUGCCAGCGCAAAUACCGCUUUGAUGGCUUCAACAGGAGCCAGCUCCUCAAGCUCCGUGCAUUUCUGACAGAUGUCCUCAUUGACCAGCUGCCCAACCUGGUGGAGAUGCAGAGAUUUCUGAGUUACCUCGCAGUGACAGAACCUGCUCCCCCCAAAAAGGAUCUCAUCCUGGAGCAGCUGAGGGGAGAAACUGAGUGUGGGGGCAGAUCUGCAGAGUCUGCUGAGGAGAACUGGGAGCACAGAGGCUCUUCGCCACUGCCAGAGGCUCCCACACCGCUUCCUGGAGGAGAUGGGUAUGUUGGGCAGUGGCUGGCUGGGCUGUCCCCAGUGGGAGCAUGCUGUCCCCAUUGCAGCUGGCUGUGUGGCCUGGGAGGAGGGUGAUGUGCCCUGUCAGAGGUAGCUGUGGCUGAGCUGGGGGCAUGGCCCAGGCUGGGAGCUGGAGCUGGGGGAGCUGCAGACUGGCAAGCUGAGGUGUUGGGGCUGGGGAUGGCAGCAGGGCAGAGAUGGACAUGGAUUCAUGCCACGUGCCUUGACUGCCAGUGUGUUGGUGGCUCAGUGACAGGCAGCUGCCACGCUGGGGACCUGCUCCAGCCCUCACCCAGGCUGCUGUCCUUCUCCAUAACUCUGCUUUUGUGCCUGUGCUGCUCCUGCCCCUGCCAAGGGCUGGGGGUGAGCACGGGGAGCACAGCAGGAAGCACAGACAUGGGCUCCCUUCUCUGCCCAGAGAGUGGUGAACUCACUCCUUGUUGCUGAGCCAAGCUAAGGAAAGGCCUUUUUCCAUUUGGCUGCUCCCAGAGCAGCCUCCUCCCCUUCCUUGGCUAUUUUUACUCUGCUGGAGAAGGCAGCGCUGUUUGAAGCGGCAUCAUCCACUCCAGAGCCGGAGUUCAGCGCGCUGCUCUUGGCCGAGACGUUUCCUUUUGCGCUGGCCAGCCCUUCCCCGGGUGUUCAUCCUCAGGGACGUGACGAGCGGAAAAAUCUGCUCAGACAAACGGCUCUGGAGCGUGGGGUUCACGCUGCUGCCACACACAGGGUGCUGAGGUCCCAGGGCUUUCUUUUCAGCAGCCCAGGCCUCAAGGCUGAAUACUCAUUCCCAGCUGGACACCAAAGGUCUUGCCUUGUUUCACCUCAAUGCCCACUGCCCACUUCCAUUCCCCUCCUGCUUCCAAAAGCACACCCUGACACCCUCUGCACCUCUGCCUGCCCUCCUGGAGGGCCAUGCUUCUUGUGCCCAGGGCUGGCUGCCUUCUCCCCAAACCACAGCACCUUUUUAGGCUGUUAGCACCUCUUCCCCUGCCCUGCCUCUCCCAUCAGGUUCCUGUCAUCUGGGACCAUAUCCUCAAGAAAAACUCGGGGAAGUGGGAGGCCAUUGCCAAGCACCAGGUGAAGCAUGCCUUCAGCCCCACUGAGGAGGAGUUGAAGCUCCAGGCACGAAGGUGGGCACAGACCUACAGCCUGGACAU